GCUAAAUUAUCACAUCUAGUCUAAAAAUUCAAAAGAUAAUUUCAAGUUAACAAGCUCAUAUAAUAAUUAAAUGUUCUAUUAGAACGUCGUAUAUAUUGACCAAAGUAUUACAAAAAUAAAUAAAAAUAAUAUAUACUAUAGAAAUUAAAAUAAACAAUGACUAUAUCUUGCAAUUUAUAUGCUCCUAAACCCAAUUUGAUCGCUCUCCUAGUUCAUUUGGAAGAAUUGGAAGAAGAUGAUUUUGCUGGUCGAAUUUUAAAUUGAGGGGGCUUAAAUUCUACAACAUUGCCAUUGAUUACUUGACCAUAGCCUUUUUUAAAAGUUUCCCCUUUCUUAGCUAAAAUGUCUUCAAUCGUCACCCGUUCUUCAGAGAAUAUUUUUAAAUGAUCAGCCAUCAAGUGCCGAUUUUUGCACUUAGGACAUUGAACUAAAACGGUCCCAUUAUGGUAGGCCUGCUUGGAGAAAUUGUGAUUUGACCUAGUGUUACAUCUUUCAUUUGGUUAGUAUCCUUCAAUGAAAUUAUAAAUACUUACACGGUAC